rnacentral:tRNA from 1 species
AGCGGGGUAGGGUAGUCAGGAAAGCGGUCGGGGUUCCCGGCCGUCCUGAAAUCCCGACGGGCUCAUAACCCGUAGAUCCAUGGUUCAAAUCCAUGCCCCGCUA